rnacentral:rRNA from 1 species
GUGGGGAAUCUUGCGCAAUGGGCGAAAGCCUGACGCAGCCAUGCCGCGUGAAUGAUGAAGGUCUUAGGAUUGUAAAAUUCUUUCACCGGGGACGAUAAUGACGGUACCCGGAGAAGAAGCCCCGGCUAACUUCGUGCCAGCAGCCGCGGUAAUACGAAGGGGGCUAGCGUUGCUCGGAAUUACUGGGCGUAAAGGGCGCGUAGGCGGACAGUUUAGUCAGAGGUGAAAGCCCAGGGCUCAACCUUGGAAUUGCCUUUGAUACUGACUGUCUUGAGUACGGGAGAGGUGAGUGGAACUCCGAGUGUAGAGGUGAAAUUCGUAGAUAUUCGGAAGAACACCAGUGGCGAAGGCGACUCACUGGCCCGUUACUGACGCUGAGGCGCGAAAGCGUGGGGAGCAAACAGGAUUAGAUACCCUGGUAGUCC